AUAAUUUUAAGUUAACAAAAACUAUUAGCCUUCAAAGUUAAACAUAUUUUAAUUUAAAUAAAUUAUU
rnacentral:tRNA from 1 species